rnacentral:rRNA from 1 species
GGUUAAGUGACUAAGCGUACACGGUGGAUGCCUUGGCAGUUGGAGGCGAUGAAGGACGUAUUAACUUGCGAUAAGCCUAGUCAAGCUAGUAAAAAGCGCUUGAGACUAGGAUUUCCGAAUGGGGAAACCCACCUGCUUGCAGGUAUCGUUAACUGAAUACAUAGGUUAACGAGGCGAACGCGGAGAACUGAAACAUCUAAGUACCCGUAGGAAAAGAAAUCAACCGAGAUUCCGAAAGUAGCGGCGAGCGAAAUCGGAACAGCCCUUAAGCUUAUUAUGUGUUAAUGGAAGGCUCUGGAAAGUGCCACGAUACAGGGUGAUAGUCCCGUACAUGAAAAGACAUUUUAAGUGAAAUCGAGUAGGUCGGAGCACGUGAAACUUUGACUGAAUAUAGGUGGACCAUCAUCUAAGGCUAAAUACUCCCAACUGACCGAUAGUGAACCAGUACCGUGAGGGAAAGGCGAAAAGAACCCCUGUGAGGGGAGUGAAAUAGAACCUGAAACCGUGUACGUACAAGCAGUAGGAGCCCACUUGUUGGGUGACUGCGUACCUUUUGUAUAAUGGGUCAGCGACUUAUAUUUUGUAGCGAGGUUAACCGAAUAGGGUAGCCGUAGGGAAACCGAGUCUUAACUGGGCGACUAGUUGCAAGGUAUAGACCCGAAACCCGGUGAUCUAGCCAUGGGCAGGUUGAAGGUUGAGUAACAUCAACUGGAGGACCGAACCCACUAACGUUGAAAAGUUAGGGGAUGACCUGUGGCUAGGAGUGAAAGGCUAAUCAAACCGGGAGAUAGCUGGUUCUCCCCGAAAUCUAUUUAGGUAGAGCCUCGGACGAAUACUUACGGGGGUAGAGCACUGUUAAGGCUAGGGGGUCAUCCCGACUUACCAACCCUUUGCAAACUCCGAAUACCGUAAAGUAAUAUCCGGGAGACACACGGCGGGUGCUAACGUCCGUCGUGAAGAGGGAAACAACCCAGACCGCCAGCUAAGGUCCCAAAGUCAUAGUUAAGUGGGAAACGAUGUGGAAAGGCCCAGACAGCCAGGAGGUUGGCUUAGAAGCAGCCAUCCUUUAAAGAAAGCGUAAUAGCUCACUGGUCGAGUCGGUCUGCGCGGAAGAUGUAACGGGGCUAAACUAUGCACCGAAGCUGCGGAUUCAGAAUUUAUUCUGAGUGGUAGGGGAGCGUUCUGUAAGCGGUUGAAGGUGUACCGGGAGGUAUGCUGGACGUAUCAGAAGUGCGAAUGCUGACAUGAGUAACGAUAAUGGGAGUGAAAAACUCCCACGCCGGAAGACCAAGGGUUCCUAUCCCAUGUUAAUCAGGGUAGGGUAAGUCGACCCCUAAGGCGAGGCCGAAAGGCGUAGUCGAUGGGAAACAGAUUAAUAUUUCUGUACUCGAUAUAAUUGCGAUGGGGGGACGGAGCAGGCUAAACAAGCAUGGCGUUGGUAGUCCAUGUGAAAGUGAGUAGGUUGG